rnacentral:siRNA from 1 species
AUGACGCCUAACCGAGCAAGGUGU